rnacentral:rRNA from 1 species
GAUGAACGCUGGCGGCGUGCCUAAUACAUGCAAGUCGAGCGAACGGACGAGAGGCUUGCUUCUCUGAUGUUAGCGACGGACGAGUAAGUAACACGUGGAUAACCUACCUAUAAGACUGGGAUAACGUCGGGAAACCGGAGCUAAUACCGGAUGAUAUUUUGAACCGCAUGGUUCAAAAGUGAACGACGGUCUUGCUGUCACUUAUAGAUGGAUCCGCGCUGCAUUAGCUAGUUGGUAAGGUAACGGCUUACCAAGGCAACGAUGCAUAGCCGACCUGAGAGGGUGAUCGGCCACACUGGAACUGAGACACGGUCCAGACUCCUACGGGAGGCAGCAGUAGGGAAUCUUCCGCAAUGGGCGAAAGCCUGACGGAGCAACGCCGCGUGAGUGAUGAAGGUCUUCGGAUCGUAAAACUCUGUUAUUAGGGAAGAACAUAUGUGUAAGUAACUGUGCACAUCUUGACGGUACCUAAUCAGAAAGCCACGGCUAACUACGUG